UACGAAGGGGGCUAGCGUUGUUCGGAAUUACUGGGCGUAAAGCGCGCGCAGGCGGUUCUUCAAGUCAGAGGUGAAAGCCCCGGGCUCAACCUGGGAACCGCGCUUGAGACUGGCACGCUAGAGUUCGGGGGAGGAUGGUGGAAUUCCCAGUGUAGAGGUGAAAUUCGUAGAUAUUGGGAAGAACACCGAUGGCGAAGGCAGCCAUCUGGACCGACACUGACGCUGAGGCGCGAAAGCGUGGGGAGCAAACAGG
rnacentral:rRNA from 1 species